GCUACGUGCAGAAUCCGUCUAGCUAAAAUGUAAUUUCAGAUUGGACAAGUACUGUGGAGGAACUGCAAUGUCUGGUGAACAGAAACCAGAGAGGUACUAUGUGGGUGUGGACGUUGGAACAGGCAGUGUCCGUGCAGCUCUGGUGGACCAGAGUGGGGUCCUGUUGGCUUUUGCAGACCAGCCAAUUAAGAAGUGGGAGCCCCAGUUCAACCAUCAUGAGCAGUCCUCCGAGGACAUCUGGGCUGCAUGCUGUGUUGUCACAAAGGUAGUGAUGGAGCCUGAGGGAACUGGUGAUUGCAUAACUCCUCAUAGGCCCCCAAAGCUGACAAAGGCAUUCAAAUCAAGAUUUAAAAGAAUACAGUACCAGCCACUCAGAACUCUACUGCAAGCUGGAUUGUGUCCAUGAAGCCCCAGGCUUUGACCCUUGCUCUAAAUAGAGCUAAGGAUAAAACCAGAAAGUUGUACAAGGGAUUGAUUUAAACCAAAUUCGAGGACUUGGGUUUGAUGCCACGUGUUCUCUGGUUGUUUUGGAUAAGCAGUUUCACCCAUUACCGGUCAACCAGGAAGGGGAUUCCCAUCGAAACGUCAUCAUGUGGCUGGAUCAUCGAGCAGUCAUUCAAGUCAACAGGAUCAAUGAGACCAAGCACAGUGUCCUCCAGUAUGUCGGCGGGGUGAUGUCUGUGGAAAUGC
rnacentral:sRNA from 1 species